rnacentral:rRNA from 1 species
CCUACGGGGGGCUGCAGUGAGGAAUAUUGGUCAAUGGACGAGAGUCUGAACCAGCCAAGUAGCGUGAAGGAUGACUGCCCUAUGGGUUGUAAACUUCUUUUAUAUGGGAAUAAAAUGUUCCACGUGUGGGAUUUUGUAUGUACCAUAUGAAUAAGGAUCGGCUAACUCCGUGCCAGCAGCCGCGGUAAUACGGAGGCUCCGAGCGUUAUCCGGAUUUAUUGGGUUUAAAGGGAGCGUAGGUGGAUUGUUAAGUCAGUUGUGAAAGUUUGCGGCUCAACCGUAAAAUUGCAGUUGAAACUGGCAGUCUUGAGUACAGUAGAGGUGGGCGGAAUUCGUGGUGUAGCGGUGAAAUGCUUAGAUAUCACGAAGAACUCCGAUUGCGAAGGCAGUUCACUGGACUGCAACUGACACUGAGGCUCGAAAGUGUGGGUAUCAAACAGGAUUAGAUACCCUUGUAGUC